UACAGAGGUCUCAAGCGUUGUUCGGAUUCAUUGGGCGUAAAGGGUGUGUAGGUGGCGCGGUAAGUCGGGUGUGAAAUUUCGGAGCUUAACUCCGAAACUGCAUUCGAUACUGCGGUGCUUGAGGACUGGAGAGGAGACUGGAAUUCAUGGUGUAGCAGUGAAAUGCGUAGAGAUCAUGAGGAAGACCAGUGGCGAAGGCGGGUCUCUGGACAGUUCCUGACACUGAGACACGAAGGCCAGGGGGGCAAACGGG
rnacentral:rRNA from 1 species